rnacentral:rRNA from 1 species
GGGUAGUAGUAAUAUNUUUAAAACCUAAAGAAUUNGGCGGUACUUCAUUCUUACUAGAGGAACCUGCUCUUGUAUCGAUAUUCCACGAUUAAAUUUACAUAUUUUUGUUUUCAGUUUGUAUACCGCCGUUGUCAGAUUAUUUUUAAAAAAUAUUAUCUAAUUAGCUUAUUGUUGCGACAUCAGGUCAAGGUGCAGCCUAUAAAUAUGGGAGUAGUGGGUUACAAUAAAAUUAAGUUAUCACGGAUUAAUGGUUAUAUAAUUAUUAUUAAGGUGGAUUUAGUAGUAAAUUGAAAAUAAAUUGUUUAUAUGAAAUAAGCUCUGAAGUGUGU